GACGAACGGGGGAGGGGGGAGGAACACAUGCAAGUCGAACGGAAAGGCCCUGCUUUUGUGGGGUGCUCGAGUGGCGAACGGGUGAGUAACACGUGAGUAACCUGCCCUUGACUUUGGGAUAACUUCAGGAAACUGGGGCUAAUACCGGAUAGGAGCUCCUGCUGCAUGGUGGGGGUUGGAAAGUUUCGGCGGUUGGGGAUGGACUCGCGGCUUAUCAGCUUGUUGGUGGGGUAGUGGCUUACCAAGGCUUGGACGGGUCGCCGGCCUGAGAGGGUGACCGGCCACAUUGGGACUGAGAUACGGCCCAGACUCCUACGGGAGGCAGCAGUGGGGAAUAUUGCACAAUGGGCGGAAGCCUGAUGCAGCAACGCCGCGUGCGGGAUGACGGCCUUCGGGUUGUAAACCGCUUUCGCCUGUGACGAAGCGGGAGUGACGGUAAUGGGUAAAGAAGCACCGGCUCCCUACGUU
rnacentral:rRNA from 1 species